GGCAGGGUAGAGCCCUACCGGCACUAGCGGGUCAACUCGAUCAGGCUCAUGACCUGAAGACUGCAGGUUCGAAUCCUGCCCCCGCAA
rnacentral:tRNA from 1 species